CAGGAGCAGUCCGGUGGCUACCGGAACCACUGUCGGGGAUGCCGCCGCUUGGCUCAGUCACUUCUCCUUAGUUACGGGCUGAGUUCGAGUUAUGGCAUGUCACGGUUAGAGUUGUUGUUGCUGUUACGAGUAGUUGGGGCUGAGGUUGCCUCCGUCGCCGGAGCUGUGCCGGGGCCGGUUCAAAACCGCAGCUGCUUCGUGUUGUUAUUCCGAGCUGUUUAUGCUGCUGCGAAAAUGUGUGGGGCUGUGCUUUGAAGCUGCCUUUGAUUUUGAGUUGAGGUGAAAAGAACUUAUGAGGCGCUUGGAUUAUGGAAUUGUGUUUUGAGGUAGGGGCGCUUUCCAAAAACUAUAUUUUAUUAUUGGAAUUAUUACAUAUGGGUGCUGAUGUGAGAUAUUGUGUAUUUGGUGAUUGUAUCUGCCUUAUGUAUUAUUUGAUUGACUCGAAUGACUAUGGAUGUUGGUUUGGCCGAAUUGUUGUGUGGCUUGUGAAACGUAAUGUUUGAAGUUGAUUCUUUAAAGAUUUGAAAUGAGUUUAAUCCGUUGAGGAUUGGUUUGAAUUGAGUCAAUUAUUUUGAUGA